UCUCGAAUUCGAUUAGAGUUUGAUCAUGGCUCAGGACGAACGCUGACGGCGUGCUUAACACAUGCAAGUGGUGCGACGAGCCCCGGCUUGCCCUGCGGCAAAGCCGCGAACGGGUGAGUAACACGUGGGUAAUCUGCCCCGAUGACCGGGACAACCCGAGGAAACUCGGGCUAAUACCGGAUGUGGUGCACUGACGUAAGUUGGUGUACUAAAGGAAGCUUCGGCCUCCGCAUUGGGAGGUGCCCGCGGCCCAUUAGCUUGUUGGUGGGGUAACGGCCUACCAAGGCGACGAUGGGUAGCUGGUCUGAGAGGACGAUCAGCCACACUGGGACUGAGACACGGCCCAGACUCCUACGGGAGGCAGCAGUGGGGAAUCUUGCGCAAUGCGCGAAAGCGUGACGCACCAACGCCGCGUGGGGGACGACGGCCUUCGGGUUGUAAACCCCUUUCACGAGGGACGAAGGGUCACCGCUGAAUAGCCGUGUGGAUUGACGGUACUUCACAGCGCUCCGGCUAACUACGUGCCAGCAGCCGCCGUAAUACGUAGGGAGCAAGCGCUGUCAGAAUCAUUGGGCGUAAAGCGCGCGUACGUGGCCACAUAACUCCGGUGGUGAAGUCAAAGGCUCAACCUUUGAAAGCCGAUGGAUACUGUGGGCCACAGGUACGGACGAGGCGAUGGAAUUCUGGGGUAGCGGUGGAAUGCGCCAAAUUCAGGAGAACCCUAU
rnacentral:rRNA from 1 species